GCUGAGGUGGUCCUGUGUUCUAGGUCGUGUCUACAGCGCUACCGCGUGGGUUCGAUUCCCACCUGCAGCA